UGGGGAAUAUUGGACAAUGGGGGCAACCCUGAUCCAGCAAUGCCGCGUGUGUGAAGAAGGUCUUCGGAUUGUAAAGCACUUUCGACGGGGACGAUGAUGACGGUACCCGUAGAAGAAGCCCCGGCUAACUUCGUGCCAGCAGCCGCGGUAAUACGAAGGGGGCUAGCGUUGCUCGGAAUGACUGGGCGUAAAGGGCGUGUAGGCGGUUUACACAGUCAGAUGUGAAAUCCCCGGGCUUAACCUGGGAGCUGCAUUUGAUACGUGUAGACUAGAGUGUGAGAGAGGGUUGUGGAAUUCCCAGUGUAGAGGUGAAAUUCGUAGAUAUUGGGAAGAACACCGGUGGCGAAGGCGGCAACCUGGCUCAUGACUGACGCUGAGGCGCGAAAGCGUGGGGAGCAAACAGGAUUAGGAUACCCUGGUAGUCCACGCUGUAAACGAUGUGUGCUAGAUGUUGGGUAACUUU
rnacentral:rRNA from 1 species